GGUGGUGGUGACAGCUGCUGCAGGGGCGGUGGUGGUGAGAGGUGCUGCAGGGGCGGUGGUGGUGAGAGGUGCUGCAGGGGCAGUGGUGGUGAGAGGUGCUGCAGGGGCGGUGGUGGUGAGAGGUGCUGCAGGGGCAGUGGUGGUGAGAGGUGCUGCAGGGGCGGUAGUGGUGAGAGGUGCUGCAGGGGCGGUGUUGGUGACAGCUGCUGCAGGGGCGGUAGUGGUGAGAGGUGCUGCAACGGCGGUGGUAGUGAGAGGUGCUGCAGGGGCGGUGGUGGUGACAGCUGCUGCAGGGGCGGUAGUGGUGAGAGGUGCUGCAGGGGCGGUGGUGGUGAGAGGUGCUGCAUGAGUGGUGGUGGUGACAGCUGCUGCAGGGGCGGUAGUUGUGAGAGGUGCUGCAUGAGUGGUGGUGGUGACAGCUGCUGCAGGGGCGGUAGUGGUGAGAGGUGCUGCAGGGGCGGUGGUGGUGAGAGGUGCUGCAUGAGUGGUGGUGGUGACAGCUGCUGCAGGGGCGGUGGUGGUGACAGCUGCUGCAGGGGCGGUGGUGGUGAGAGGUGCUGCAGGGGCGGUGGUGGUACCAGCUGCUGCAGGGACGGUGGUGGUGACAGCUGCUGCAGGGGCGGUGGUGGUGACAGCUGCUGCAGGGGCGGUAGUAGUGAGAGGUGCUGCAGGGGCGGUAGUAGUGAGAGGUGCUGCAGGGGCGGUGGUGGUGACAGCUGCUGCAGGGGCGGUGGUGGUGAGAGGUGCUGCAGGGGCGGUGGUGGUGAGAGGUGCUGCAGGGGCAGUGGUGGUGAGAGGUGCUGCAGGGGCGGUGGUGGUGAGAGGUGCUGCAGGGGCGGUGGUGGUGAGAGGUGCUGCAGGGGCAGUGGUGGUGAGAGGUGCUGCAGGGGCGGUGGUGGUGAGAGGUGCUGCAGGGGCGGUGGUGGUACCAGCUGCUGCAGGGGCGGUGGUAGUGAGAGGUGCUGCAGGG
ensembl:lncRNA